GCUAAUACCGGAUGUGCCGCAAGGUAAAAGGCUUGCUGCCUGUUAGAUGAGCUCGCGUCUGAUUAGCUAGUAGGUGGGGUCUGAGCCUACCUAGGC
rnacentral:rRNA from 1 species